GUGGCUUGUGCCUUCCUCCCACAGAGAUCACAAAAUCCUCCCGGCGCUCACUUCCGAUGCAUCCAAGGAGUUCUGCAACAACAGAAGGGGAAACAAGGCUUCACAGUCCUCAUCUUUCACUGACAGGAAUAACAGGGCAAGAAAAACAACGACUGUUAAACAAGUGGCAAGUGAGCUGCUGCUCAAGAAAGAGGUGCAACUCUACAUGGCAUCAUUAAAAAAUGAGAGCGAAGAAGUUGUGAUCUGCUGUAGACAGCUGAAGGUGUGUGUUACUCUUCAAAUUAAUUUAGAAUACAAGUAAUGUGCAAGCUGUACUGCAAUGUGGAGAUAAGCAAUAAAGGCAAUUCAUCGGCUGGAUCUCCAGAUGCUGAUGCCUGAGGUCCCUCAUAAUCUGAUCUAUUUUCAAUGCAGUGGUCAGGCAGUGGUGGCUAUUGGAUAUAUCAGGACCAUAGCUCAGUGGAAAGAGCCCCGAUGGACACACUCGCCUCUUUUGCCUCUACACCUUUGUGUGUAAGUAGAGGUUACGUUUGUAUGGAUUUACAUCUACUUUAAAUGUGCAACAUCUACUUGCUUAACUGAAUGUGCAUUGGUGGAAUAAAACAUUUUCCUCUUCAUUCCAGGCCUGUUUUCUAGGAAAACUAAAAUCUUGUUGAUGUAUCUACCUCAUGGAUAAUGUCCACUGUCUCUCAGCAUAAAUAAACCACAGCUGUAUGUGUUUCCUGCUAGUUAAACUGACUUAAAUGACUAAUCAUCUUUCAUUCAUGUAUUGCCUUUGGUCUUCUCAGGGUCCUCAUAACCAUGCAGAGUGUAAAACUGGAUGAUUUUCCCACUAAGUUAUCCUUAAAAGAGUUCAGUCUUCUUGAACAAUAGAAAGUUACCUGGACUUUAUUAAUGAAAGAUGAAUUUCAGUGUUUGGAGAAGCUCUUUGUUCUUUUUCCUGGUUUUCAAGGAAGCUGGUUCCUAUCAUUGCUCAGAAUGCGUCCACAGUGGCUUGUCUAUUUGAGUUUCAACUCAUGCUUCAAAUUCCUUUCUUCCUCACUAGUCCUGAAGUCUGAAUAGUCCUUUACAAACAGGUAAUGUAGGACAUUUUAAAUAUUAUCCUUCUAGUCACUCUCCAAAGCCAUCUGUCAUGAUAGGCCUAUCGUGGCUGGAAUUUAGUUGCAGACAUUCCAGGAUUUACACUCAUCAAAUGUCUUAGGUUGCAAAUGCAAGAUGUUGCCAGGGGUGGGUAUUCUAUUGCCAUCUGUCAGAACCGGGUGGGGCAGUUUUCUUUUUCUCCUCCACAACCCAUCCUCCAUCCAGGGAGAUAUCUUCUGUUAGUGGGCCAUUGAGUGUCACUGCAUGACUGAUAAAGUUACAUCAUCCCACUGUGACAUGCUCCACCCAGGGGGAGGAGCCAAGCAUUCCUACCUGGAUAUAAUCAGAGAUUUGGAAUACCUUUUGGAAUUUCCUUUGGAAAUCCAAAGGAUUUCCUCUGGGAAUCCUUUUCCACUGGCUUCCCAGAAGGAGCAGCCUUUUUACUAUUGCAUUCCCAGAGGAAGACCAGGUCCAUCUACACCAGCACUGGACCUUCAGAGGAAAACUGCACCCUUCUACAGAAUCACUGCUUUAACAGAACCACAUCUGUCACUCCAGGAGGACUGCAGCCACUCUUUAAACAGCCUGCUACCAACACCCUGACCAACAAGGUUACAAGGAAGAUCAAGAGGAAUGAUCAAAGGUGUGGAACAUUUCCAUCUGAGGAGACAGCAAAUGAAAAGUAAACAGACCAAGAUGUUUCUAUUUGAAGAAAGGGUAAUUGAGGGGAUACUAUGAAGGAAAUCUAUGAAAUGGUGACUGGUAUUAGGGCAGAUAGAGAGCAACCACAUAUAACUUCUCACAAUAAGAGAAUUGAAUGGGAGUCUAUAAAAUUGUCAUUUGGCAGGUUCAAAACACAAGGAAGCAAUUUUUUUCCAUAAAAUAGAAAUGAAUGUAGAAUAAACUUGUUGUUAUGGUAAUAAAAAUGAGAAUGGGUUAAAAAAGGAAUCAGAGCCAUCUUGGAGAGAAAUCUAUUGAAAACUAUUAUGCAGUGGUCUAGAAAGAAAUCUCCAGCUUGGAAUUAUUGGGAGUUACAGGAUAUACCCUGGAAAGAAUUGAUUUGUAUGUCUAAUGAGCUUUUCAUAAGCACCCACAAUUGGCCACUGUGGGGAAGAGGGAGCUGAACUACAAAGACCUCUGGUCUGUCCAAGUACAGACAUUUUAACCUCUACUUUCCAAACACAGUAAAUUACUUUAAUGAGGCUUCUAAUAUCAGCCACAUAAUGUGAGGUCAGCAAGAUAGGCAAUAUUUUAGAUAUUACAUCUAAAUCCAUAGAUAUUACAUCCAUAUUGCCUUGAUUAACAGCUAUGAAAUAUCCAAAGGGCAUUAUUCAGCAUCAUUCAAGUGGAACUGGUCUUAUGCCAUGGAUGCAACAGACCUCUAUAUGAGACCGGAGCACUUUCUCCUGGUAAACACCAUGCCAUAUGUUUUUAUCAGGCACUAAUUUGGGGGAGAAUUAAUCUUUAUAAAGUUAUUACAUUAGAGUGUCCUAGUUAUGUCAAAGUAUAGAGCUGGGGGCUUCUUCAUUUGUACAAAUGUUGCUAAACAUUUAAUUUCAGAUUUUCAGUCUGGUGGAUAAUAAAAAAUGACUACCACCAAACUUGGAGCAUUAAAUUGAGGCUGUGUUUUUGGCAGCUCAUCGUAGACGGAUUAAUAUUACUGAAAUAGCUUUGUUUCUCAGCAAUACCUCCUUAAAAACAGCUUCCUCUGAACACAUAUUUCUAUUUUAUUGAGAAAAGGAAAUACAGUAUUAGAAAUCAAUGUUUUUAAAGGGUAAUUUAAAGAAAUCUAUCUUGGCAGAUGCUGAAAUAUUUUCAAUUUAAAACAAAUAGUAUUUCUGUCAUCCAGUUGGAUUUUUUAAAUUAGACCAUUACUCCUUGAUAAGUUAAUUACAAAACAGAAAGAGACUCAACCAAUCUAAAAAAGCAUAUUGAUGAAAGCAUAGAGCACAUGUCUAAAAGCUACUUGUACUGAUUUAUGGGUGAAAUUUUACUUUUUAUAUAAAAAAACCUUGUCUCCAACGUCUUAAAUCAUAGAGAAAAAUGCUCAAUUUUUCACCUUAUCAAAACUAAUGUUUUACAUUGGUACACUGAUGGACUAUUGUUUUCCGGUGCUACCAUCCAUUAUAAAAAGUGACAGCAUCAUAAUUGAAAUUAUUUAAAAUAUGUUGCAUUUAGAUAAUUCUUUACUUUGCUAUAAAUAUGACUACACAAGAAAUGCUGCUACUGGAAAUUGCUAGGAUGAGCUACCAAAAUGGAAUCAUUGCUCAGCAGACCAUAUUCCUCUGGGGAUAGGAAAUGAAAAAUAUCAGAACUUCCUCUGAAAUGCAGAAAGGUUAAAGGAAUGGAAGGAACAAUUUUUGUUGUGUCUGAGAUGCAGACAAGGGAAGCACAGCGUACGUUGCAACCAUGGGUUGAAAUGUCUUGAGGUCUAUCAGCUGAAUCCCAGUCUCACCAAAAUCCCUGACAAGUCUUUCAGCUGAGUGAAGUCACAAUUUCACUCCAAAGAUUUUGGUGUAAAAGGAAGUAAAACUCACCCCAAAAAAAUUGCACUGGGUGAUUAGUUUCGUAAUCUCUGUCCAUGGAUGUCCCUGUAACUGUGAUGCAUGGCAACAUUUUGUGCUUUUUACAGUAAGACCUUGCCAGGGUGCCCAGUGGGAAUCCUUCUGGAUUAAGUGCUGGGGUCUGAGCCAAAGUCGUGGCAGGUAUCAGUCUAAGUUUAACAAAAUGAAUAGUGGCAAGCCAGAACCCAAACUAAAUGCCAUCUAUGAGUAAUUUACCCAUAUAGAAACUGUCCCACAGAGCCAACAGAUGUUGCUGUCCUGAAGUAAACAGGCAGAUUUAGCAUUUUCAGAUACUGUAAAAUUUUACAGAAUUUCACACAACUGGCCAGCUGGUGAAAAAGAACCUGGCCAACUGCAGAAAAAUAGCAGAAAUAACAAAUCUGGGUUAUGGGAGAUGUUGUGUCCAUGAAACUGUACAGUAUCUGAAAAGGCUAAAUUUGCUUGUCCACUUUAGGGCAGCAACACCUUGGUGUAAGAAAAUAUUUCUCAUAUUAUAAAUGCAUUAAACAGGACUGGCCCUAGAAUUGAACCUGGAUGAACACUGCUGGUGACUGGUCACCAGCCAGUUUGAAGCACACCCUUUAAUAAUGAUCCUUAGACUGUUCAAGACCAGGUGAAAUCAUAAGAAAUUUUAACAGAAAAGUGUUCGCAGAUGAUUUCUAUACUUCAAAUACAGGAAAGAAAAAAAAAAAAGAAAAAAGAAAGUAUGGGACACAAUAAAACCACUAAUUUUCAGUAUAUUGUCCACUGGUAAUUUUAAAAACCCAGAACUUUUGAAAAAACAGGCAAUUUCUUUAAUUACAGGAGAAGUCUCCUUUAUACAAGGCUUUCCAUAUUACUGCUCACAUCAGUACUAUCUCAGAGAUAACAGCAACCCAUAAAUUACAAUAUUGUAUUGUAUUGCUUACCUUCUUAAAUGUGGAGCAAAAUUUAGGCAGACACUAUGUAUUGGUUGUAUAGCUUCAUCCCCUCCUGAUGAACACCAAUACAAGUACCACUGUAAAGUUUGUAAGUUUAUGCUGUUACAUGAGACAAAGUAAUGAUCUUCACUUCUUCUAUUUAAAGAGAAAACCUGUCUUGUGAUGGUUUUUUUACCUUUACCUUACAAAGUGAUAUAGUCUAAGGACCCUGAAGGACAGGCAUGUCAGCUCUGCAGUGUUGAUUUGGGAUUGUUCCAGGUUAGACGACUUUUUAAAUACCCCUAAUUUACCACUAUGGAACAGUUUGCAUUUUGAUAUAAAUUAAAUCCCUGUCUGUAAGUGUGGACUUCUAAUUUCCACAUAGGAAAAAUGGAAGUCAGAAGUUCUAUAUGAAAAGUAAACAUAAGCAGCAUUGAAAAUUGGAAAUUUGGGUCAUUAUUCAAUGGUUCACAUUAACAUGUAUUAGGGAAGUUACCGUGGACAUGGUAGCAGCACUGUGAGUCCAGGUUCCAGGUCUGUCACUUGCUGGUGGCCUUUCAGCAGGAGUUUCUUGCAUUGCUUCAUGGUGGAGCAAUGUGAAAGGUCAAGUGGGGAGUGUCACUGAAUUUCUGUGUUAGGGAUGUGCCUGGGCUAGGAGAAUGUGGCUGAGUCCAUUAUCAGGGAUUUGACUCCUUUAUUUAUCAUAGUUAUUAACGUACCAGCUCAAAAGGUCAAGUGACUCACAUGAGAAUCUCACUUUUCAUUUGAAGAAAAAUGUGUCCCUAGCCUUGUGGUUAUGGAGAAAAGAUAAAAAUGUAAAUGUGCAAAGGCUUAAGAAGCAGAACGAUACUUAAAAAAUCAUCAAAAGACACACUACACAUGAAGAGUUUUUGAUCUGAUGUUAUGAUCUGGGGGAUGAAAUCAUGACUUUUGAGUCAGGGAUAUGAAAGAUUAGGACGGACAAUAGAAAAAGGAGUAGAGCAAUCUCCCAAAAUACGAAUUAUUUAAAGAGCUAUUCCCACAUGUUUAAAACUUGAGGUAAUAAUUUACUGUCUGCUGCUGUAGACUGUGAUCCUUCUGGCUGUUAUCUCACUUCAGUCAGUUGGAAUUUUACUGACCAAUAACUUGACAUUUGUUGUUGCAAAGUAGAUCCACAAAAGCCACAUCUGUCCAUGCAGCCCAGAAUUGCUCUUCCACAAGGGCCUCAAGACCUGCUUCAGGGCUGGUGCCUCUCACCAGUCAAUUAUUAUACACUUAUUUUUAUUUUUAAAAUGAACCCAGAUUUUACAGGAAAUACAGGAGAGCUGCAUGAUACAGUUUGCUGUGCAACAACUAUCAAUGGUCAGGCCUGAAGUAACAUUUUGGUCAGAGUUUGUUCUGAAUAGUGAAAUGCUGGAACAAAAGGUGAGGUAGUUUAGUGAGCUUUCAACUACUAUAAAGAAGAUCUAGUAGAUAGAAGAGAGGCUGAAGAACUCAGCUGAGUCUGAGAACUCUUUGGGUAGAAUUUUCACAUUUGCCCCAACUCCAGCUUUUUGCAAGUGCUGAGUCUCUUGGCACAUCUCUAACUAGUCUGUUGCUGUAAGCAUUCCUGUUCCAUCUCUGAGUAUCCUGUCAAGAGCUUCCCACAGGCUUGGUGAUGGAAGUGUGGGGUGCAACUCAUGGUAUCUUGCACUGUGAAGUGUUUUCCUAUUAGUACUUGAUAUUGCUGGCCAAGUAUGAUGAGAGAACUUCUCUAUCAACUCGAGGACUCCAAAAUUCCAUUUUGAUCAGCCAGUGGUUAGAUUUUGAAGGGAAGGGCACAGCUGUUUCAAAAAUGAAGUUUAGUGGUUCUUCAUAAAUGCCUUCCAUUUCACAUCCUUUGAUGUCAGGAAACCUCAAUAUCUCAGAAGUUUCCAAAAGUUGUUUUCUAAAAAAUCACAAAAUUAGAAAAUAUUCUUUUAGUGACCAUACAUCCAUACUUUUCACUUUGAACCACUUCGCUGUGGUUCAGCUUAAUUUUUUUGUUCAUCUAUCACUUGCAGACUGAUAACACCCUGGUGUCCAGUCAUGGCCAGCUGGGUCUUAAUAAUGUGAGAUAAUGUAUAAACACAUUUAGCAAAAUGUUAUUCUAUCCCAGAGACAAUUGUUGUUGAAAAUAAUCCUAAAGAUGACUGCAAACCUGAGAAAGGAAGAGGAUUAUUGGUCAAUACACUACCAUAAAACACAACAGACUCUUUAGCUUGGCAGAAAGUUAUCUUUUGUCACAUAUUUGCAGCCUUAGGGUUGCAGCUGUACAACAAGAGAUCCUUAUAUGCUUCUUACAUUUAUUAAUAUUAGGUUGUUCUACUUGCAUCACAGCUGGAGAAUGUUAGAAAGUAUUUGGGAGCCUACUGAACAAAACUCCUUCUGCUUUUCCCUUGCAUGGGCUUGAUCCAGGAGCAGUAAGUGGAGAGCUGAAAGGUAGAAAAGAACCCUCUAAAAAAGCUGUGUGAUAAAAGAAGACAGAUAAGAGAAAUACUGGAGCUUUUAACCCCCUCCCACUUAGCAAUGCUGUUUCUUGCACCUUCAGUUUCAUCAGACUAUCUAUCCUACCAAAUAUGCCUCCCUUUCAACUUUGCCCCAGCUUUGGACUGGAGGUAGCAGCAGCUGCAAGACCCCAUAGGCUGUGAUUAUCUGUCUCCUGUUGAUUAUAUUUAAACAUAUGCUAAACUGUAAAGGUCAUUUUUCUAGCAUGACUCUGGAGUACACUUAAUGAUAGUCUUGUUACCAAUUGACCUCCUGUACCUGACAGAGAUUAAACAUCUUGGGCAAAUU